GCGGCAGUAGCUCAAUGGUAGAGCCCCCGCUUCGCAUACGGGGAGGCUUGGGAUCGAUUCCCGGCUGAUUCC
rfam:Toxocara canis C1825725, whole genome shotgun sequence.